AGGUACCAAACCCUUGAAAAAAAUUCAGUAUCAGUUUUCUCAGGGCUUUUGGUGUAUCUGUCUGUCACCUGAGAGCACAGAGGAGAAUUGCUCACUUGAAAGGGUGGCCUGUGAACAUGAACCCCUCACUGGUUUAACAGAAUGCCAGAGCUGCCAGUCAGAAAACUUAACUAGCUUUCACUGUUAAAGAUUAACUUGCCUUAAGACCAGAUGGAGAGAAAAGAAGCUUGCUCUUUGGAGAGAAAAGAGGCAAAGUACAAACAUUGUAGGCUGGAGGGAUAAUAGAAUAUUAGCCUGAAGCCUUUCACACCUCAGAAAUGUAAAAUGCCUUCAACAGAUGAAGCAGAAAACAGGUGCCAUGAACCUAAAACUCUUUAUUGCCAUAAUAUUAAAAAAAAAUCCCCAAACCCUAUGGUGAAUAAAGUAAUAAAUUAUUUUGUACA